GUGCAAGAAACGAAGCAGCCUGGUAAAGAUUGAAAACAGACAAUUGGCUUUGUUUGCGAGUGGUGCGUUUUUAACUAUGGCGCAGAAAACAGUGCAGAAACAAAAUGGCGUCGUUGGAGUGAACCCCUUUGUGAUACGUGCGGGCAUGUUUCCUGCAGAUCUGAUGCUAAGCCAAACCGUUGACUGUGUGCCCUAAUAUUUCUUUUGCAGAUCGCGUAGAUCGCGAUUCGUGCUACGGUGAAAUAUAAAGAUGUGCUUUUGAUAUUAGUUGAGAACAGUGUCCAGAUGAAAUAUACCGAAAGAACAUGAAAUUGAUCGGAAUUGCAUUUGCCGCUUGUUCCAUGCCUUCAUUACGCUGCCACGGGUGCCUUGAGAAGAAGUUCUGAAAAAUGAGCCGCAGUAAGCCGUAAAGGUGAUGUGACGUUCAUUUGGGUAGAUGUUUGUUCAAAAUUUCAGCCUUGCUCUAUGUAAAAGAAAAGUUCUGCUUUAUAAUCUACAUUACUCAGAAAUCAUUGAAGCCAUCGAAGUGGACAGCGUAUUUACAGCGAACACUUAAUGAAGCCUGCCAUUCAACAAAAGGCCACUUUAUUGAGGCACAAUAGUACAGAGAGCAGCUUGAUGUUUCCAAUCCCGGUGUUUUCGUCCAUUGAGUGCCAACUCUCGGAGUCAUUUCUCCUUCUCCAUCCACUUUUACUUCAUUAUCACUUCCUUCCUGGUCAUUUUCGAGAUCAGUGUCAUCUUCAUUUUCACUAUUGUAACCGUACUCAUGUACUAGAAAUGGGGUUGAAAUGGUUUGGAAAUGGAAACACAAGACAUUCUGUACGUAAAUUACGAUUGAUAAUGUUCACGAAAACUGAGAAAUGAAAAUUAUCAUAAAAGUCACAGUCUGAUGGUAUUUCAUUUUGCGGAAAGUCGUCAUCACAUUCUGAAUCUUCUGGUUCGACCGUAUUUUCAAACUGCAAUCUUUGCCAGAUGGUAAUCCUAGUAAAACAAAUAUCAUUGCCCAACAGUGUUGUUCAAAUUGUAUAUGAAUGAAAGUUUUUGCACAGAUCUGAAGUGUAAGGUCUACUAAUCAAAAACUAAAUUUUUACCGGAUUGAGAAUGGUCGUGCACAAUAGGAUAAACUUGGAGAAGUUUACGGGUAAACCUAUAAUCUUAAAAAAAUAUUUUGGAGCUUACCUGUAAGCACUCCAAAUGUGAACUAUUUGCUAUUUUUAUGCUUAGCAUUUCAUCUAACAAAUUCACAUAUCAUUUGUAUUAAUACAAAAGUUAAUAAGAGUUAUAAUGCAAUUCUGUUGACUGUUGGCCUGAAUCUGUUACAAUACCUGCUGAUAAAUUACAGUUUUGGUUUUACUUCUUAUUAGAACACUAUCGUAUUAGAACCAUAUAUCGUGUCUUGGCAGCAGAGAUCCUAAACCAUCUUUGAUUCCCGCAUGUUCUGUUGGUUAACAUCGAACUUUGCUGUUCCGGCUGACUGCUGCUUUCCAGGGAGCCCGUUCGAUGAAUGGCCGUUUUAGAUGUUUGAUCUUUUCGGGUAGCCGUUUCGGAAGUUCGAAUGGCAUUCUCAUGGCAAAUAAUCAGAUCUACAUGGAACAUCAUGUUAUAGGACACAGCGGUGUUCCACUCAAGUGCUUGGGAGAGAUCAAAUAAGAUAAAAAUCCAAAUGAAUUGGUUAAAACUCUCAUCAUUAUCUUGAUAUCGUACACCAUUAUUAACCGAUCGUUGGAACAUUGGUUUUAUUGGUCGCAUCGGCCUCCGCCGCAUCCAUAUUUCCAGUUGCACCCAUAUGAUUAGUACAACACUUUCCUGCAUUCAUAUGAGAUUCAUGCCACGCUAUGUAUUCAGUAGAAUUCAGUUUACUUUCCCAAAUGUAGGAUUCGUGACAGUUUAAUCUUUAACUGCAAUAUCUAGAAAUUUUUCGGUAAAGUACCCAAUCAAAAAAGUGACACCAAAUAAUGACGAGAAGCUUCUUUUGUUCCAUGUACCGUUGCCUGAUACGGUAAGCUCUACAGUAUCACUGUUCAAUUCUCCUUCGGUGGUGCUGCUUUCUCUUCUGUUGUGGCGAAUAAGAGUAGCUGUCUCGCAACUUUUGUUAUAGUCGAACACAUUCUGUUAAUAAUAAUAAAAAAUAUAUAUUUCAAAGUGUUCGCCGUCAGGCUAGAUACAGCAUCUUAAAACUAAAAAGGAUAACAAUAUGGUAGAAGGGAGCUUAUGUGUAACAGAGUGGUGGCAUAGAGGGGUAAAAAAUAACGACUGCAAACAAACUGCAACUGAGAGUGGGAAUAUCGGUGUUGGACGGGCUGGGAUUUCUUAGGAGGAAGGCUGGUGUUCCGUCGAGUCUUAGCACCGAUAGGCCGGCUCUUACAGCCCCGGUCGUAGACUGCUGGCAGGACACUGUCUGCGUGCCAACGUCGUGAAUGACAUGCUCCCAUUUGGGGUACAGACCGCGUCCUUGGGUCCUUGGCCGGGCAGCUCGUCUGCCCUAUUGCUGGCAUUUCCACCCUUUUCGUGAGUUCCUUUUCAUUUUUUUAGGUGGCAACCACUACAGCAACAGCAGUUGUUAAAGAAAUCACCUAUUGCGCGCCACUUGUCACCUAUUUUUCUAGAGAAAUCAUCUGAUUGCCUUGAUUGUGGGUUUUUUUUUAUUUGCUUUGCACUUGUUUUCUUCGCAACGACCGGUUUCUGUUUGUAUUUCCGGAGGAAUUGUUAAUUCGUGUGAGCCUGUGUGCGAGCGUACGGAUAGAAUUCUGUAAGUAUUAAAUGUGUGGAUGAAUCUUGAGAAACUAUGGAAAUCUUCUGCACUUACCACAUUACCCUUAUUUGGUUAGGCUUCGGAACCAGUAGGACUACAUCUCGGGUAUGAAUGAUAACUGUUAUUUUGGCAUUGUAAAAUACAUUUAUACGAUACAGGAGGAUAUUCCGUCUUCUCAGUUACAUUUUCACAGUCAUCCGUACAAUAUAUUUGUAAAAUGGAUGAAUGCUAUCGAGUUGCAGGCGUUGAUUGAUUAAUUAAACUCCGUCUAUGCCGUCGUUGUCGGCAAUCGUAGAGCUGGUGUAAAUUGCUGCGUACCUUUGAGUAAAUCGUACAGGACAGCGUGCACUAUUUUAUGUCGAAGACUCCACUGCCUGAGAAACGUCGCCUGAGAAACAUCGUUCUCCUCAAUCGAAUGUUUUUCGGCCUCUUCAAGAACGAUUGCGACAUUCCGAAUUUGAGGCGGUUAUUGCGAAUGUAUACCACCGUAAUUUCUGCCAAAAAUUCUAACACCAUUUUUGUAAUCGAAGAACAUAUAGUAGCUGGCCAAUUCCUCAACCUAAAUUGUUGUUAUCUGUUCCGCGCUUGGAUCGCGAUCUUGACAGAGGGCGAGUGUAGGAGUUCGAAAAACCUCUCUCGAAAACACGGUCGACUCAGCCAGUGGCAACUACAGCUAGUUGAGCCAUCCAGUUUUCUAUGAACGCUGCUUGGUUUUAUUUCUUAUGUUAUUCUCGAGAGUCUCGAUGCGUCUCUGGCUAAUGCUAAUCCAGGAUGCAGGGUCUCGCUUAUCCUAGCUUAUCUAGCUCGCUUGCUAGGGCCCGUGUAGCGCAGGUAAAUUUGGUUCGAUGCGCUCUUCUUCCUUCCGCAGCGCAUCCCGGCUGUUCUGGCGCGCUGGUGCUUGAUGUGCGCAGGAGGUGCUUUUCUCCUGUGAUUUUUUUUCCUAUAUUUAGGAGUAUCUUAUAGCGGCACUUUCGGGCUCGCUGCACUAGAAAUAUCAUGUAUUGGGGUUAUGCACAAUGCGUAGCACCAUACAUGAUGUUUCUGGAACGUUUUCUUGGAAUGCACAAGGAUACCACACUAACGGAACUUUGUUUAAAGAAAAACGAUCCAACA